GACGAACGCUGGCGGCGUGCUUAACACAUGCAAGUCGAAUGGAAAGGCCCUGCUUUUGUGGGGUGCUCGAGUGGCGAACGGGUGAGUAACAUGUGAGUAACCUGCCCUUGACUUUGGGAUAACUUCAGGAAACUGGGGCUAAUACCGGAUAGGAGCUCCUGCUGCAUGGUGGGGGUUGGAAAGUUUCGGCGGUUGGGGAUGGACUCGCGGCUUAUCAGCUUGUUGGUGGGGUAGUGGCUUACCAAGGCUUUGACGGGUAGCCGGCCUGAGAGGGUGACCGGCCACAUUGGGACUGAGAUACGGCCCAGACUCCUACGGGAGGCAGCAGUGGGGAAUAUUGCACAAUGGGCGGAAGCCUGAUGCAGCAACGCCGCGUGCGGGAUGACGGCCUUCGGGUUGUAAACCGCUUUCGCCUGUGACGAAGCGUGAGUGACGGUAAUGGGUAAAGAAGCACCGGCUAACUACGUG
rnacentral:rRNA from 1 species